GCUGAGGACGGUCGGCGCGCGUGUGUGCGCGCGCGCAGCGUCAGUCGGCACACCGCCCGGGCGGGCGCCACACGACCGGACUCUGCGCUAGCGAAAGGCGACGCGAUCAAUAUAAUUUCAGUGAAAUAUACCGCGGAUACGCCAACCAACGUUUUGGAAACGCCAGCGCACGAUCUGUGAAUCAAAUACGAGCAAAGUGAACGAGUACCGAGUGCAGACCACGACGACGGCCGGCGCACAACGAGCGAGCGAUUAGAGUUCCGAGAACUCUCCGAAUACGAAUCGAGUCUGGCGCCGAAGAAGCCGCUGCUUCUUUGCCCCUCGAAAUAUUGUUAAUAAUCGCUCUGUGACUGUCAGGCACCAAAAAAACCUGCACCGCUC